rnacentral:sRNA from 1 species
CUCUGUCAUCAGCAACGUAAUUUCCGCUCUGCCAGGCCCGGCUGUGCUUUGUGUCUGCGCGUGGGUGGGCCAAAAAAAAAAAGAAAAAAAAGAAAGCAAAAGCAAAAGCAAAAUGCGAAACAAAAAAGGAUUAAGGGCUGGAGAAAACUGUGUAGCCGAGACAAAAACUGCAGCGAUUGACCUCCAGCCGGAGUUCAUAAACAUCAAGUGGCCGGCAUAUCAAAUGGCCAAUGGUUCGGGCAACAAGUGAUCCGCUCCCAGUUGAGGACAGGUAUCAAAAACAACAACAGCAACAACAACAACAACAACAACUUGGCAGUUCAUCAAAUUCUCAUGUGACCAGAGCCCAAAAGGUUCAAUUCGUUCGUUUCAUACGAAAUUUGAUAUGCGGGUCACAUAUUAAUGACUUCUUUCAUUUUACAUAACACUCGAUUCGAUGAACUGGCGACAGCCCCCCCGCCCGGCCCCGCCCGACCGACUGCAAGCAGAGCUAUUGCACCCAGCACUUGUUGGAUUCUAGGGCUUGGCCGUUGCCGCCUCGGAAAUUCCCAUUCCACCCGAUCGUGGCGACCCUUUUUGACAGUACCCAGUAACCAGGCGCGUGAUGGAACGCCGGACAAUGGAAGUGCCACCGAGGAGUGUGUGUGUGUGUGCGUGUGUGUGUGCCCCGCCUGGUUAGUGGCAACAGGUAGCGAGUGCAUUUGUAUGCAGCAUGGCGGAUGCGCCGGCCGAAGCGUUUAUUUCUUCAUUUGACGCAAAUGAUGUUCGACACAAGCCUGGAAUGCACUAAACCGCUAACUAAGCACAAUCCGAAGCCCGAAUCCACCAAUCCCCAAAUCCCAAAACCCAAACCCAAACCCGAAGCCGAAGCCGAGAGCUGAUGUCGAAACUGAAACCGAAGCUAAGCCAGAACCAGAGUUUUCUGACCGCAGCACGCAAAGGGAAAGGCAACCGACUGCAACAACAACAACAUAUGGCCAGAUACACUUUUUCAGAACUUUCUCUACCUUCUCCUCGACGACAUCAAAUCUCUAACCCUGCAGCUGAGCUCAAAAAUUGUGUUGAUUUUCCGAAAAGAAACUUACUUUGUGACAAAAAAUUUCUCGCGGUGCAUGAUUCUUGUUAUUUGAAACCCGGAUUUAAACAGAACAUGAAAAAGAAAGAAGAACGAGCCACAAAUUACUUUUACCGAUCACAAACACACAACAACAACAACAACAAGAAGAACAAGAGCCAGGCGAGGAAUAAGAACAUGAAGACGCGGAGAAUGACGACGAUGAUGACAAGUCGAAGUGAAGUGGACACCAGCUGAAUGCAAAUGCAUAAAUUAAGCGACAAGCAAACAAAUUUCCUAUGUACAAAUGCACUUGUCCAAAGGUUGGGCACAAUGCCCGAUCCUCAAUAUGCCAUGCCCACGCAUCCAUUCGCGGCCCAAACAAAUUGUGCAUGCAAAACCGAAUUCUCGACAAGAAUAUGGGCAUUAUUAUUAUGGUAUUAUUUUGUUUCUUGUAAGGCCGCCAAGCCGGAUGAACUUAUUGUUUAUGACAAUUUUGUUGAUGUUAUGCGGAAUUCCGAAAGAAACAUGGGCCAAGGCGUUGACAGCCUACAAAGUAACUUGUUAAGCGAUUUUUGAUUCUCACUGCAAGCAAGAAAUAUGGCAAAUAGCUAUUGUUACGACUGAGGAUUCGAACCUUUAACCAGAUUUUCACUAGUUCAAACCUUAAACCUUAUC